GGUGCUUUACACACAACAGCAGCAGCAGCAGCAGCAGCAGCAGCAGCAGCAGCAGCAGCAGCAGCAGCAGCAGCAGCAGCAGCAGCAGCAGCAGCUC
rnacentral:miRNA from 1 species